rnacentral:misc_RNA from 1 species
GAUGAAGAACGUAGCGAAAUGCGAUAAGUAUUGUGAAUUGCAGAAUUCAGUGAAUCAUCGAAUCUUUGAACGCACAUUGCGCCCGUCAGUAUUCUGGCGGGCAUGCCUGUUCGAGCGUCAUUACGCCCCUCAAGUCCCCUGUGGACUUGGUGUUGGGGAUCGGCGAGGCUGGUUUUCCAGCACAGCCGUCCCUUAAAUUAAUUGGCGGUCUCGCCGUGGCCCUCCUCUGCGCAGUAGUAAAACACUCGCAACAGGAGCCCGGCGCGGUCCACUGCCGUAAAACCCCCCAACUUUUUAUAGUUGACCUCGAAUCAGGUAGGACUACCCGCUGAACUUAAGCAUAUCAAUAAGCGGAGGA